rnacentral:rRNA from 1 species
GACGAACGCUGGCGGCGUGCCUAAUACAUGCAAGUCGAGCGAAGUUUUUCUGGUGCUUGCACCGGAAAAACUUAGCGGCGAACGGGUGAGUAACACGUAAAGAACCUGCCUUAUAGACUGGGACAACUAUUGGAAACGAUAGCUAAUACCGGAUAACAGCAUUAACUGCAUGGUUGAUGUUUGAAAGUUGGUUUUGCUAACACUAUGAGAUGGCUUUGCGGUGCAUUAGCUAGUUGGUGAGGUAAAGGCCUACCAAGGCGACGAUGCAUAGCCGACCUGAGAGGGUGAUCGGCCAUACUGGGACUGAGACACGGCCCAGACUCCUACGGGAGGCAGCAGUAGGGAAUCUUCCGCAAUGGGCGAAAGCCUGACGGAGCAACGCCGCGUGAGUGAAGAAGGAUUUCGGUUCGUAAAGCUCUGUUGUUAGGGAAGAAUGAUUGUGUAGUAACUAUACACAGUAGAGACGGUACCUAACCAGAAAGCCACGGCUAACUACGUG